rnacentral:tRNA from 1 species
GCCCGCGUAGCUCAGUGGAAGAGCAGUAGCCUUCUAAGCUAAAGGUCGAUGGUUCGAUCCCAUCCGCGGGUACCA